rnacentral:rRNA from 1 species
UUUUAUGGAGAGUUUGAUCCUGGCUCAGAGUGAACGCUGGCGGCGUGCCUAAUACAUGCAAGUCGAACGAUGAAGCUUCUAGCUUGCUAGAAUGCUGAUUAGUGGCGCACGGGUGAGUAACGCAUAGGUUAUGUGCCUCUUAGUUUGGGAUAGCCAUUGGAAACGAUGAUUAAUACCAGAUACUCCCUACGGGGGAAAGAUUUAUCGCUAAGAGAUCAGCCUAUGUCCUAUCAGCUUGUUGGUAAGGUAAUGGCUUACCAAGGCUAUGACGGGUAUCCGGCCUGAGAGGGUGAACGGACACACUGGAACUGAGACACGGUCCAGACUCCUACGGGAGGCAGCAGUAGGGAAUAUUGCUCAAUGGGGGAAACCCUGAAGCAGCAACGCCGCGUGGAGGAUGAAGGUUUUAGGAUUGUAAACUCCUUUUGUUAGAGAAGAUAAUGACGGUAUCUAACGAAUAAGCACCGGCUAACUCCGUGCCAGCAGCCGCGGUAAUACGGAGGGUGCAAGCGUUACUCGGAAUCACUGGGCGUAAAGAGCGCGUAGGCGGGAUAGUCAGUCAGGUGUGAAAUCCUAUGGCUUAACCAUAGAACUGCAUUUGAAACUACUAUUCUAGAGUGUGGGAGAGGUAGGUGGAAUUCUUGGUGUAGGGGUAAAAUCCGUAGAGAUCAAGAGGAAUACUCAUUGCGAAGGCGACCUGCUGGAACAUUACUGACGCUGAUUGCGCGAAAGCGUGGGGAGCAAACAGGAUUAGAUACCCUGGUAGUCCACGCCCUAAACGAUGGAUGCUAGUUGUUGGAGGGCUUAGUCUCUCCAGUAAUGCAGCUAACGCAUUAAGCAUCCCGCCUGGGGAGUACGGUCGCAAGAUUAAAACUCAAAGGAAUAGACGGGGACCCGCACAAGCGGUGGAGCAUGUGGUUUAAUUCGAAGAUACACGAAGAACCUUACCUAGGCUUGACAUUGAGAGAAUCCGCUAGAAAUAGUGGAGUGUCUGGCUUGCUAGACCUUGAAAACAGGUGCUGCACGGCUGUCGUCAGCUCGUGUCGUGAGAUGUUGGGUUAAGUCCCGCAACGAGCGCAACCCCCUUUCUUAGUUGCUAACAGGUUAUGCUGAGAACUCUAAGGAUACUGCCUCCGUAAGGAGGAGGAAGGUGGGGACGACGUCAAGUCAUCAUGGCCCUUACGCCUAGGGCUACACACGUGCUACAAUGGGGUGCACAAAGAGAAGCAAUACUGCGAAGUGGAGCCAAUCUUCAAAACACCUCUCAGUUCGGAUUGUAGGCUGCAACUCGCCUGCAUGAAGCUGGAAUCGCUAGUAAUCGCAAAUCAGCCAUGUUGCGGUGAAUACGUUCCCGGGUCUUGUACUCACCGCCCGUCACACCAUGGGAGUUGUGUUUGCCUUAAGUCAGGAUGCUAAAUUAGCUACUGCCCACGGCACACACAGCGACUGGGGUGAAGUCGUAACAAGGUAACCGUAGGUGAACCUGCGGUUGGAUCACCUCCUUUCUAGA